rnacentral:rRNA from 1 species
UACAGAGGUCUCGAGCGUUAGGCGGAAUCACUGGGCUUAAAGCGUGUGUAGGCGGAUCGUUAAGUGCCUUGUGAAAUCGCACGGCUCAACCGUGGAACUGCUUGGCAUACUGGCGGUCUUGAGCAACCUAGGGGCGAGCGGAACAAAUGGUGGAGCGGUGAAAUGCGUAGAUAUCAUUUGGAACGCCAAUGGUGAAAACAGCUCGCUGGGGGUUUGCUGACGCUGAGACACGAAAGCCAGGGGAGCAAACGGG